rnacentral:rRNA from 1 species
CCUACGGGAGGCUGCAGUGAGGAAUAUUCGUCAAUGGGCGCGAGCCUGAACCAGCCACGUCGCGUGAAGGAUGACUGCUCUACGGGCUGUAAACUCCUUUUAUAAAGGAAUAAAGUGAGGCACGUGUGCCUUUUUGUAUGUACUUUAUGAAUAAGGAUCGGCUAACUCCGUGCCAGCAGCCGCGGUAAUACGGAGGAUCCGAGCGUUAUCCGGAUUUAUUGGGUUUAAAGGGAGCGUAGUUGGGUUGUUAAGUCAGUUGUGAAAGUUUGCGGCUCAACCGUAAAAUUGCAAUUGAUACUGGCAGUCUUGAGUGCAGUUGAGGUAGGCGGAAUUCGUGGUGUAGCGGUGAAAUGCGUAGAUAUCACGAAGAACUCCGAUUGCGAAGGCAGCUUACUAAACUGCCACUGACAUUGAUGCUCGAAAGUGUGGGUAUCAAACAGGAUUAGAUACCCCGGUAGUC